AGAGUUUGAUCCUGGCUCAGGAUGAACGCUGGCGGUAUGCUUAACACAUGCAAGUCGAACGGACUCUUCGGAGUUAGUGGCGGACGGGUGAGUAACGCGUGAGAAUCUGGCUUCAGGUUCGGGACAACAGUUGGAAACGGCUGCUAAUACCGGAUGUGCCUAAUGGUGAAAGAUUUAUCACCUGAAGAUGAGCUCGCGUCUGAUUAGCUAGUAGGUGUGGUAAGAGCGCACCUAGGCGACGAUCAGUAGCUGGUCUGAGAGGAUGAUCAGCCACACUGGGACUGAGACACGGCCCAGACUCCUACGGGAGGCAGCAGUGGGGAAUUUUCCGCAAUGGGCGAAAGCCUGACGGAGCAAUACCGCGUGAGGGAGGAAGGCUCUUGGGUUGUAAACCUCUUUUCUCAGGGAAGAAUGAUGACGGUACCUGAGGAAUAAGCAUCGGCUAACUCCGUGCCAGCAGCCGCGGUAAUACGGAGGAUGCAAGCGUUAUCCGGAAUGAUUGGGCGUAAAGCGUCCGCAGGUGGCAAUGUAAGUCUGCUGUCAAAGCGUCUGGCUCAACCAGAUAAAGGCAGUGGAAACUACAUAGCUAGAGUAAGGUAGGGGUAGAGGGAAUUCCUGGUGUAGCGGUGAAAUGCGUAGAGAUCAGGAAGAACACCGGUGGCGAAAGCGCUCUGCUGGACCUUAACUGACACUGAGGGACGAAAGCUAGGGGAGCGAAUGGGAUUAGAUACCCCAGUAGUCCUAGCCGUAAACGAUGGAUACUAGGCGUUGCCCGUAUCGACCCGGGCAGUGUCGUAGCUAACGCGUUAAGUAUCCCGCCUGGGGAGUACGCAGGCAACUGUGAAACUCAAAGGAAUUGACGGGGGCCCGCACAAGCGGUGGAGUAUGUGGUUAAUUCGAUGCAACGCGAAGAACCUUACCAGGGCUUGACAUGUCCGGAAUCCUCUGAAGGGAGGAGUGCCUUCCGGAGCCGAACCACAGUGGUGCAUGGCUGUCGUCAGCUCGUGUCGUGARAUGUGGGGUUAAGUCCCGCAACGAGCGCAACCCUCGUUCUUAGUUGCCAUCAUUAAGUUGGGAACUCUAAGGAGACUGCCGGUGACAAACCGGAGGAAGGUGGGGAUGACGUCAAGUCAGCAUGCCCCUUACGCCCUGGGCUACACACGUACUACAAUGCUAUGGACAAAGGGCAGCAAGCCAGCGAUGGCAAGCAAAUCUCGUAAACCAUGGCUCAGUUCAGAUCGCAGGCUGCAACUCGCCUGCGUGAAGUCGGAAUCGCUAGUAAUUGCAGGUCAGCAUACUGCAGUGAAUUCGUUCCCGGGCCUUGUACACACCGCCCGUCACACCAUGGAAGCUGGUCACGCCCGAAGUCGUUACCCUAACCUUUCGAGGAGGGGGACGCCGAAGGUAGGACUGGUGACUGGGGUGAAGUCGUAACAAGGUAGCCGUACCGGAAGGUGUGGCUGGAUCACCUCCUUUUUAGGGAGACCCGAAUCAAUUCAAAAGAUUAUGGAUUCACGGAUUCAUAAUUUUGAAUUGAUGUAUCCCUCGGUCGGUCGAGGAAAAGUUGUUGGCUUUCAAACUAUGAUUGGUUCGAUCUAAGUCGCACUCAGACAACCGAACAACAAAGUACGGUUGUGAGUAGGCAAACAGUCAAAGAGAUUGUUACACUCAAAAAUGGCGGCUGCAAAUAUUGCUUUUUAGCAAUACGUGGCUCAAGAAAUAGAUCCAGCAAUAUUGCUUGAAACAGCAAGACUGCUGGGUGUGAACCAGCCAGAACCUUGAAAACUGCAUAGUAACGCGAAGCAGGUAGACACAGACAUACUAUGAUUGCAUGGAUGAAAGUGUUUGCUGAUAUAGAUUUCACCAAUUGUUGAGUGGUCAAGCGAAUAAGGGCUAAUGGUGGAUACCUAGGCACACAGAGGCGAAG
rnacentral:rRNA from 1 species